rnacentral:tRNA from 1 species
GCCUUCGUGGUGUAGUAUCAGCACGCUCGACGCAAAUUCGAAAAGACCGCGGUUCGAGUCCCGGCGAAGGCA